rnacentral:rRNA from 1 species
GAUGAACGCUAGCGACAGGCUUAACACAUGCAAGUCGAGGGGCAGCAUAAAAGUAGCAAUACUUUGGUGGCGACCGGCGCACGGGUGAGUAACGCGUAUGCAACCUACCUAUCAGAGGGGAAUAACCCGGCGAAAGUCGGACUAAUACCGCAUAAAACAGGGGCACCGCAUGGUGAUAUUUGUUAAAGAGAUUCGCUGAUAGAUGGGCAUGCGUUCCAUUAGGUAGUUGGUGAGGUAACGGCUCACCAAGCCGACGAUGGAUAGGGGAACUGAGAGGUUGGUCCCCCACGCUGGUACUGAGACACGGACCAGACUCCUACGGGAGGCAGCAGUGAGGAAUAUUGGUCAAUGGGCGGGAGCCUGAACCAGCCAAGUCGCGUGAAGGAAGAAGGAUCUAUGGUUCGUAUACUUCUUUUGCAGGGGAAUAAAGUGCAGGACGUGUCCUGUUUUGUAUGUACCCUGAGAAUAAGGAUCGGCUAACUCCGUGCCAGCCGCCGCCGUAAGAC